rnacentral:misc_RNA from 1 species
AUUGCAUACUGUGGAGGAAUUGCUUCUUCAAAAUCUUUAUAUCUUAAUGGAUAUUUCGCUUUCUGUUCAUUAAUUUCCUCUCUCCAAGCAAAGAAAUCGAGCAUAGACUUAGCACGUUUCUUCUCCAGCAACCUAUUCAACCCUUUCAAAGCAAUCUUCAAAUCAGCACAAAGUGAAACAUGAGGCUGCUUGUUCUUCCNNNCAGCCGAAUCAAUGUCAAUGUGAACUAUACUUGCCCGACUAGCAAAUGCGUCGACUUUGCCUGUCACACGAUCAUCAAAUCUAACUCCAAAAGCGAGCAGCAAAUCCGAUUGAUCUAUUGCAUAAUUUGCAUACAUAGUCCCAUGCAUUCCAAGCAUGUGCAGUGACAGCUCGUGACCGCAAGGGAAACUACCAAGACCCAUUAGAGUACUCGCCACUGG